GUAAGCCCCAAACACCUCAGCAGCUGUAUUCUGGCAGCAGAGACGCGGCUGUCUAUUCCCAGAUGUGUGCCAUUCGAUCGCUAAAAAGGAGAGAAAGAAAGAGAAGCAAUAUAGGGGGAGGAGCAAACUGCGGGGGUUAGAGAGAAGAAAGGGGAUACAAGCAAGAGAGGUGGAAGAGUGUGUAAUACUGGAUGAACUGUUGGGCAUUUGGAAGCUCUGUGACCUUUCAGAAACUUCACCAAAAUUCUCAUCUUCAGAGAUACGCAAUAUACUGACUUCCUUUUGCAAGACAUCUGUGAAGGUCAAGACACUCUCCAAGCACUCCUUUCCUGCCUGCUGUCCCCAGCCUAACACUACGCAUGAGGAAAUAACCAGCAGCUAUCAAAGAUUGGCCUCGGCACAUCCUCCUACACCACCAGGACUGCUGGGAGGUGGUGAACUGCAUUUUCUUCUUUUUCUGUGGCUUCUGAGUGCAGAUCUCCAUUUGUGUAGAGCCAAUGAAUGGACUCAGUCAUGAGCCAGCUACUGAACUGUCUUAGUCUCCCCCACUGUGGCUGAAAACAGACUGACAUGAGGAAAUGGAUGGGAACUAGAGUAAGCGCGUCUCCCCACUUCCUGAACAGGUGGGUCUUCUCUUCCCUCAGAGGAAAAGCCACGUGCCUGCAGAGGGAGGUACAUGUGUGUACUCCAUCCCAUCCCCUCAUGCCUCCUCCACCACACUGCUUCUGCAAUUGUCCCCUCUCUCUCGCAACGUUUUCCCAUCCAGUGGAUCAUUUUCAUCGUCUCUGAAAAUAGCUCUCAUCUUAAUCAAACGCUUGACCCCAAUACUCCUACAACCAAUUUUCUUGGCUUCUUUUAAAACAAAACCUAUUUUUAAAAAUUGCCUUGUAAUUCCAU
rnacentral:lncRNA from 1 species